CGAGAGGCGGCCCCGAGCGCCGCGGGCGGGGAAAAGGGAGCGGGAGGGAGGAGCCGCCCUGUGCCGGCAACAUGGCAGCGUCUAGCCGGGCCCAGGUGCUGCGGCUGUACCGCGCUCUGCUGCGAGAGAGCCAGCGCUUCAGCGGCUACAACUACAGGACAUACGCCAUCAGAAGGAUAAGAGACGCCUUCAGAGAAAACAAGAGUAUAAAGGAUUCUGAAAAAAUAGAAGAACUAGUGAAUAAGGCAAAAGAAAACCUAGAGAUUAUUCAUCGGCAGGCUACAUGACAUUCUUCGUUGUCCAACAACUGACUCUUUGCUGUACUAUGGCAUGCCAAUGUUUAGCAUACUAGUGAGACUCAGUCCUCUGAAUUCUUGUAGACCAAAUUAUGGAAAGUCAGGUUACUAUCGGCCAGAUGUAUGCCACACAGAAAUUGGUCAUUGAGAAUCCAGGAAACACAUAGCUGUGAGAAGGCUCUGACCCUGAAGCAACACUGGACCAUCUUCAGCAUCUUUCAGUGCCACAUACAGAUGCAUAACGUCACUGCACAUCUGGCCUAUUCUGUUCAGCAUAAGAAAUAUCUGAGAGACUCUUUUUUUUGCAACCAAAGUACUAUUUUCUUAUGGUUCACACAUUCUGAAAUAUACUGCUGUGAUCUACAACAGUGUGUCGGUAGUCCUGAAGUCUGUUUGCUUUUGUGUUCCUUGUGAUUAAAUAGUUCCUGCUUUAUUCAUCAAUAAAACUUUGUUAACCUACCUGCAACCAGA